rnacentral:rRNA from 1 species
CAGUAGCCACGGGAAUGCGUAGGUGGCAAGCGUUGUCCGGAAUUAUUGGGCGUAAAGGGCUCGCAGGCGGUUUCUUAAGUCUGAUGUGAAGGCCCCCGGCUCAACCGGGGAGGGUCAUUGGAGACUGGGAAACUUGAGUGCAGAAGAGGAGAGUGGAAUUCCACGUGUAGCGGUGAAAUGCGUAGAGAUGUGGAGGAACACCAGUGGCGAAGGCGACUCUCUGGUCUGUAACUGACGCUGAGGAGCGAAAGCGUGGGGAGCGAACAGGAUUAGAUACCCCCGUAGUCCCUGUCUCUUAUCC